rnacentral:rRNA from 1 species
CUGAUCUCAAAUCAGGUAGGACUACCCGCUGAACUUAAGCAUAUCAAUAAG